rnacentral:lncRNA from 1 species
CUAUGGGGUGCCAUUUGGAACAUGUAGUGUAUUAAAUAUCUCUAUGUUUCUUUGAAGGGGAAUAGAGGGACAGCUUGGCGCAACGGCAAGCCUGGACACAGAGGGAACAAGGGUCGCGUGGGUCAGAGAGGGAAUGUUGGCCAGCCUGGUCAACCGGGCUUGCCAGGCCCUCCCGGGACAGAGGGACCAGAAGGAAAGCCUGGUACACAGGUUCCCAUUCUAUAUCAUAUUUCAAUACAGUGACCACACCCCUGAAAACACUGAGCUUGUAUAUACUGCAUACACUGAUGUACACAAAAUAGACUGCCAAUCAACAGUUUUUCUUUUGUCAGAUUUUUUCCUGUCUGUACUGCAUACAUUGGCAGAUUGUUGAGAAAAUAUAUGAAAGUAUUGCUCAAGAAAAGUAUAGGUGCAAUCAGAAAGGAUUAUAGUAAAAUGUCUCCUGAGUAGGGUUGUCCUGUGUUUUCAGAAUUCAGAUGGAAAAUUCCUGGAAGUUACCGAAUUUUGCAUGCAACCCUACUCCUGAGGGUUUCUGUAGAAUCCGAUAAUGAGUUGUGAACAACUGUAGUCAUUCUGGCUCUAAACAGCAGAUGGCGAUCUUCACAACCCUGAUUCGUAUGACAUAUUCACGAGCGAUUGUCAUUGCAUGUGGGGCAGACAAACCGGAAUAUGCAUUCUCAACUUUAAUUCAUCCCUCCUCAAUUUCAACCUCAUGUCAUUACAUUCUAACAUGAAUAUGACCAGAUGAAUGGCAUUUGUCUCCUUGUUUAAAAUGUGUCGUUAUGGAGAUACUGUAUUUGCAAAUGGGCAGCGCUAUGUCUCUUAUUCACACUAAUGCUUGUGUAUACAGUGCAUGACCUCUGUUGGUGUCGAUUGAAUUGACACUCGUUUCUCAUGUGUUGCAGGGUCUCUCAGGUUCGGUGGCAAUAGCUGGCAGUAAAGGCCUAAAGGUAAACCAAGAAGAUGCUUUAACAGUAUACAUAGGCUUAUCGUAGAGACUCAUACUCAAUACAUGUGGUUCACGUAAAGGUCACUAUGA